UCUGGAGAUGAGAGGAGAUAAGGUUACAAAAGCAAAGACAGAAGAGGCAGAACGACCGAAUUGUCAGGAUCGGCUACAGUCCGCCGACCUGAGGAAGGGGUGUCAGCAAAGCAGACCACCAAGGGACAAAGAAGCUGAGGCCAGCACGUAAGCCGCGGAAAGGAUGGAGAUGUAAGAGUCCCAAGUAGGGAAAACAACUCAGGAAAGGCGGGAGCAAGAACAGAUGGCUGGAUUUGGGAGUCAGAGCUCACUGGAGCCUUGAGGAGACCAGCUCAGGACCCGGUGGGAUACCAAAACCAGGCUGCAGGGAGCACUAACUUCCUGGGAAAAUGCCAACAGGAAUGGAGAAGCUCUUCUGCCCAAAGAUACACUUGGCACUACGUCGUGUUCUCGAAAGGAGAAUUCUUUGUCACAUCUACACCUCUGCAACAUGGGAGAGUACAGCUUUCUGAUUUAAACUGCCUCCACAGAAUCUGCAUUUUAACAAUAUCUCCAGAGGACUCCUAUGCACAUCCGCAUCUGAAAAGCAGUGAACAGUGAACAGAAGUGUCUUUAUGAAAUAAAAUAAAGUGGGAGCCCAAGAUGGGUAGCCCUGCUUGGUUCUGCCGACUUAGUCCAGCUGGAAGCCC